rnacentral:rRNA from 1 species
AACGAACGCUGGCGGCAUGCCUAACACAUGCAAGUCGAACGAGACCUUCGGGUCUAGUGGCGCACGGGUGCGUAACGCGUGGGAACCUGCCCUUAGGUUCGGAAUAACUCCCCGAAAGGGGUGCUAAUACCGGAUAAUGUCUUCGGACCAAAGAUUUAUCGCCUUUGGAUGGGCACGCGUUGGAUUAGCUAGUUGGUAGGGUAAAAGCCUACCAAGGCGACGAUCCAUAGCUGGUCUGAGAGGAUGAUCAGCCACACUGGGACUGGGACACGGCCCAGACUCCUACGGGAGGCAGCAGUGGGGAAUAUUGGACAAUGGGCGAAAGCCUGAUCCAGCAAUGCCGCGUGAGUGAUGAAGGCCUUAGGGUUGUAAAGCUCUUUUACCCGGGAUGAUAAUGACAGUACCGGGAGAAUAAGCUCCGGCUAACUCCGUG